rfam:Actinophytocola xinjiangensis strain CGMCC 4.4663 contig31, whole genome shotgun sequence.
AGCGCGUUGGUCCAGUGGAACGGAUACCGGCCUCUCAAGUCGGUGACGCGGGUUCGAUCCCCGUACGCGCUA